UGACGCUGGCGGCCGCCUAACACAUGCAAGUCGUAGCGGUAACAUAUUUAGUAGCAAUACUAAAUGAUGACGAGCGGCGGACGGGUGAGUAACACGUAGGAACCUGCCCAGAAGUGGGGGAUAACUAAUGGAAACGUUAGCUAAUACCGCAUACAUUCGGGAGAAGAAAGCUGCAGCAAUGUGGCGCUUUUGGAGGGGCCUGCGUACGAUUAGCUAGUUGGUAGGGUAAUAGCCUACCAAGGCUAUGAUCGUUAACUGGUCUGAGAGGACGACCAGUCACACUGGGACUGAGACACGGCCCAGACUCCUACGGGAGGCAGCAGUGGGGAAUCUUGGACAAUGGGGGCAACCCUGAUCCAGCGAUGCCGCGUGAGUGAAGAAGGCCCUCGGGUCGUAAAGCUCUUUAGGCUGGGAAGAAGGUUAGUAGAGGAAAUGCUAUUAAUUUGACGGUACCAGCAGAAUAAGCACCGGCAAACUCUGUGCCAGCAGCCGCGGUAAU
rnacentral:rRNA from 1 species